UACAGAGGUCUCAAGCGUUGUUCGGAUUCAUUGGGCGUAAAGGGUGCGUAGGUGGCGCAGUAAGUCGGGUGUGAAAUCCUGAGGCUUAACCUCGGAACUGCAUUCGAUACUGCUGUGCUUGAGGACUGGAGAGGAGACUGGAAUUCAUGGUGUAGCAGUGAAAUGCGUAGAGAUCAUGAGGAAGACCAGUGGCGAAGGCGGGUCUCUGGACAGUUCCUGACACUGAGGCACGAAGGCCAGGGGAGCAAACGGG
rnacentral:rRNA from 1 species